AAUUUAUGUACUAGAAGUUGAUGUA
rnacentral:piRNA from 1 species